CUGAGAAAAUGAGUCUAACUCAUAAAAUGAGACGGGAAAUGCAGUUAAAAUUCAUAAAGCAAAAAUAAGUUGUUGAAAAGUAGGUAAAUUAAAAACUCAAGAUACAAGGUUAGCAAAAUUAACUUUAUUAUUAUUUAUUUGAAACGGGGUAUUGCUCUGUUGUCCUGGCUGGAGUACAGUGGUGUGAUCUUGGCUCACUGCAACUUCCGCCUCCUGGACUUAAGCGAUCCUCUCACCUCAGCCUCCAGAAACUUUAAAACAAGUUCACACAUACUGAUUAAUCUAAACUCACCCUCUCCAUUUCUGCCUAAUUAUUCCCAAUAAGGUAUUACUAACAAUUAAGAUAUUAGUAGCUGUGGCAGCCGGGCCCAGUGCUUAUGCCUGUGAUCCCAGCACUUUGGGAGGCCAAGGCAGGCAGAUCACUGGAGGUUGGGAGUUUGAGACCAGCCUGACCAACGUGGUGAAACCCCGUCUCUACUAAAGUACAAAAUUAGCCGGGUGUGGUAGCACGCACCUGUAAUCCCAGCUACUUGGGAGGCUGAGGCAGAAUCGCUUGAACCUGGGAGGAGGAGGUUGUGGUGAGCAGAGAUUGCACCAUUGCACUGCAGCCUGGGCAACAAGAGCGAAACUCCAUCUUCCAAAAACAAACAAACAAACAAAAAUAUAUAUAUAUACACACACUAUAUAUAUAUACACAUAUAUAUAUAUACACACACUAUAUAUAUACACACUAUAUAUAUACACUAUAUAUAUAUACACUAUAUGUAUAUACACUAUAUAUAUAUACACACUAUAUAUAUAUAUACACUAUAUAUAUAUGUAGCUGUGAUGGCUCCUUAGCAUGAAAGUAUGACCUUGAAAUCUUAGACUUGUCAUUUACAUAUUUAAACUCCAUUAUUCUUUUUUUCUUUUUUUAAGACAGGGUCUUGCUCUGUUGUCCAAGCUAGAGUGCAGUGGCUUGAUCACAGCUCACUGUAGCCUUUAACCUCCUGGGUUCAAGCAAUCCUCCCACCUCAGCCUCCAGAGUAGCUGGGACCACAGGUGCACAUCACCAUAUGCCUAGCUAAAUUUUUUAAUUUUUGGUGGAGGCGAGGUCUCCCUAUGUUGCCCAGGCUGGGAUCCUGUUUUUCUUUUUCUUUUCUUUUGAGACAGUCUUGCUCUGUCACCUAGGCUGGAGUGCAGUGGUACAAUUUCAGCUCACUGCAACCUCUGCCUCCUGGUUUCAAACGAUUCUCAUGCCUCAGCCUCUGGAGUAGCUGGGAUUACAGGUGUGUACCACUAUGCCCGACUAAUUUUUGUAUUUUUAGUAGAGACAGGGUUUCACCAUGUUGGCCAGGCUGGUCUUGAACUCCCGGCCUCAAGUGAUCCUCCCACCUCGGCCUCCCAAAGUGCUGGGAUUAUAGGCUUGAGUCACCGCCUCCGGUGGAUCCUGUUUUCUUGACUGUAUUUCAGGUUUAUGCAGACCAGGUAGGUUUGUGUGUGUGAAACACCCAUGAACAGUGCAGGUACAAUGUGUUUAACAAAGGGUAGCUCUUACUAAAAAGGCAGCCCUGACCUUUACACAGACAGAUGUUGAUAUUUUAGGGCAAAGAAACAUUUGUGUGGUAUCAAACAGUGGCUACCAACUCCAGCCCAUGGAUAACUGAUAAAAGCUUUUAACAAUUAGCCUCCAAAAUAAGAAAAAUAUGAACAAAAUAGUGAAUUUUUCAUAAAAUUAACACUUUUCAUACGCUUAUUCAAACUGAUGGCUAUUUUUGUCCACUAUUCCCAUGUUCUUUUUCACUCUUCUGGUGUCAAACUGUCUUUUACGAAAUACUGGUAAUAAAUUGUAGCUUUUUGAUAUACUCCUGCUUGGAAAAAUCAAAAGUUGGCAAUUGCAUACUAGCCACCCCUAUCCUGCUUUUAAAAUGUUGCUAGUAUGAAAACAACGACUGGGAACCAGUGUUCUAGAGAGGGAGACUUGUUAGAAAUGAGAAAGGCCUUAGGAGACCCGCAGCUCUCUGGAAAACAGGCUUAAAUAAAUUGGAAUCAUCCCGGGGACACUUUCCAAAAUUAUCCAUACUCAACCUCCUAAAAGUAUUGAAUUAGAAAACUGCUGUGCUACAGAAAAAAUGAGGGAUAAACCAAGAAGGAAGAGGAUAGGAAAUCCAGAAACAAGACGUCCAAUACAGGAGGGUGGCAACAGAAAGUCCCGAGGACUGCAGUGUGCACCAGGUCUAGGCAACAACUAGGCAGGAGAGGUGUAUGGGGAGAAGGUAAACUGGUCACUCCAGGAAGACACCACCUGUAUAUUAAAAGGGACGCAAUCACAGUGCAUUAACCUGUGCAGUGAGCAAUAGUAUUCUCCCAGGCAGUGUCCCAGCAAGCCAGAUAGCACUCUUGAGAGGAAGCAGUAGCCCAGAGCCAGUAACAGAAAUACCACCACCCCUGGGCCCAAAAGGGCAGUGUAAGAUAGCGGCAUCUCAACCAUUAUGGGAAACAAUGUCUGAAGUUGAUGGCUCAAAAUAUAACAGUAUAGCCAGGCAGUGGCUCAUGCCUGUAAUCCCGACACUUUGGGAGGCUGAGGCAAGAGGAUCACUUUGAGGCCAGGAGUUUGAGACUCGCUUGGGCAACAGAGCAAGACCCCGUCUCUACAAAAAAUUAGCCAGGCGUGGUGGCACACACCUGUAGUCCUAGCAAUUCAGGAGGCUGAGGUGGGAGGAUCACUUGAGCCCAGGAGUUGGAGGCUGUAGUGAGCUAUGAUGAUGCCGCUGCACUCCAGCACCUGGGUGACAGUGAGACCCUGUCUCAAAAAAUAAAAUGUUUAUAUUUUUAUAUUUUUAUAAUUUAUUUAUAAAUAUGGAGAUAAAUUUAAAAAGCCCACAGCUCAGUAGGUAAAACCUUUGAGGAGCAAAGAAGUAGGGACAAUUAGAAACGUUGCAAUAUUACUUAAUUUUUAAAAGAUGAUGUGUGGGCCAGGUGCAGUAGUAGCUCAUGCCUGUAAUCCCAGCACUUUGGGAAGCCAAAGUGGAGGAUCGCUUGAGCCCAGGAGAUCGAGAUCAGCCCAGGCAACAUGACGAAACCCUGUCUCUAUAAAAAAAAUUACAAAAAACAUUAGCUGGGCAUGGUGGUGUGCACCUGUAGUCCCAGCUACUUGAGAGGCUAAGGUGAGAGGAUCACUUCAGGACUGCAGGUCGAGGCCAUAGAGAGCCGUGAUCAUGCUGCUGCACUCCAGCUUGAGUGACAGAGUGAGACCCUGUCUCAAAAACAUAAAUAAAUAAAAAUGAUGUGCAUAUUUAAGAACAAAUUAAUUUUCAAAAAGUUGCUAGAAGGUUACACACAAAAUCAACUGGGGCGGACUCUGGAUGCACUGCCUAUGAAUUAGCCUUGCUCCACAAGGAGCAGCACUGUUCAGGAAAAGACUACUGUCUAACAAAAACAAACCAUACAACAACAACAACAAAAAAACAAUUGGUUACCUCUGUGGAGCUGGAAUAAGGGAAUGAGAGUUGAGAAAAAACAUUCGCUUUUCAUUUAGGAUCCUCUUGCAUUGUUGUACUGUAAAUAUCUGUUAUUUUUAUAAUAGUAUUUAUACCUUAAAAAAGUUUAUUUGCUAAUGAGAAUUUAUCUUAUCCCUCAG
rnacentral:lncRNA from 10 species